UCUUCGGAUGCUGACGAGUGGCGAACGGGUGAGUAAUCAUCGGAACGUGCCCAGUAAUGGGGGAUAGCUCGGCGAAAGCCGGAUUAAUACCGCAUACGCCCUGAGGGGGAAAGUGGGGGACCGCAAGGCCUCACGNNNNNGGAGCGGCCGAUGGCUGAUUAGCUAGUUGGUAGGGUAAAGGCCUACCAAGGCGACGAUCAGUAGCUGGUCUGAGAGGACGAUCAGCCACGCUGGGACUGAGACACGGCCCAGACUCCUACGGGAGGCAGCAGUGGGGAAUUUUGGACAAUGGGGGAAACCCUGAUCCAGCAAUGCCGCGUGUGCGAAGAAGGCCUUCGGGUUGUAAAGCACUUUUGUCAGGGAAGAAAUCCUUUGGGCUAAUACCCUAGGGGGAUGACGGUACCUGAAGAAUAAGCACCGGCUAACUACGUGCCAGCAGCCGCGGUAAUACGUAGGGUGCAAGCGUUAAUCGGAAUUACUGGGCGUAAAGCGUGCGCAGGCGGUUGUGUAAGACAGGUGUGAAAUCCCCGGGCUUAACCUGGGAAUUGCAUUUGUGACUGCACGACUAGAGUGUGUCAGAGGGGGGUGGAAUUCCACGUGUAGCAGUGAAAUGCGU
rnacentral:rRNA from 1 species